CCCAAUGGCUUCUAAAUAGAGAAUGGAUGAAAAGUUCAUGAAUAUUGAGCUUUAUAUGUGAAUCAGGUUAAAUACAAUAAUUAGUUAACCUAGCUUUAUAUAAAAUGUACAUACAUGUUCUAAUAAUUGUAUUUUGCUUCAUACAAUGCAUAUGUGUGUGGAAACAUUACAUUAUUAUUUAGCUCACUCCCCACAUUGGGGCUUUUCAGUGACCGAUUACAUCAAGUACUAUGAUUACUUAUGUUAGCCUAGACUAUUUAUCUUUACAACAAUGAGAAUAUGAUAUUACUUUCCUAACUGUGUUUAUAUCCUAACCCACCCUGCCAAUUUUGCCUUGUGGGAGGAAACCGGAGCAAAAUAUAAAAUUCAAUUCCUUUGAAAACACCUAAAUUGCAAUCCCUAAAAUUUAAAAUGUUUUCUUAAAUCGCCUAAAAUCGCAUUAAAUCGCAGUGCUUGAA